UUCCGGUUGAUCCUGCCGGACCUGACUGCUAUCGGAUUGAUACUAAGCCAUGCGAGUCCUUGUAGCAAUACAAGGCAGACGGCUCAGUAACACGUAGUCAAUCUAACCUAUAGACGGGGAUAACCUCGGGAAUCUGAGAAUAAUACCCGAUAGGCCAUUAUACCUGGAAUGGUUUAUGGCUCAAAUGAUUUAUCGCUGUAGGGUGGGACUGCGUUCUAUCAGCUUGUUGGUGAGGUAAUGGCCCACCAAGGCUAUAACAGAUACGGGCUCUGAGAGGAGAAGCCCGGAGAUGGGUACUGAGACACGGACCCAGGCCCUAUGGGGCGCAGCAGGCGAGAAAACUUUGCAAUGUGCGAAAGCACGACAAGGUUAAUCCGAGUGUUUUCUGCUAAAGAAAUCUUUUGUUAGUCCUAAAAACACUGAUGAAUAAGGGGUGGGCAAGUUCUGGUGUCAGCCGCCGCGGUAAAACCAGCACCUCAAGUGGUCAGGAUGAUUAUUGGGCCUAAAGCAUCCGUAGCCUGCUUUGUAAGUUUUCGGUUAAAUCCAUAUGCUCAACAUAUGGGCCGCCGGGAAUACUGCACAGCUAGGGAGUGGGAGAGGUAGACGAUACUCGGUAAGCAGGGGUAAAAUCCUUUGAUCUAUUGAUGACCACCAGUGGCGAAGGCGGUCUACCAGAACACGUCCGACGGUGAGGGAUGAAAGCUGGGGGAGCAAACCGGAUUAGAUACCCGGGUAGUCCCAGCUGUAAACUAUGCAAACUCGGUGAUGCGUUGGCUUGUAGCCAGUGCAGUGCCGCAGGGAAGCCGUUAAGUUUGCCGCCUGGGAAGUACGUACGCAAGUAUGAAACUUAAAGGAAUUGGCCGGGGGAGCACCACAAGGGUGAGCCUGCGGUUCAAUUGGUAGUCAACGCCGGGA
rnacentral:rRNA from 1 species